rnacentral:rRNA from 1 species
UACAUGGGGUGCAAACGUUGCUCGGAAUUAUUGGGCGUAAAGCGCGCGUAGGCGGUUACUCAAGUCGGAUGUGAAAGCCCUCGGCUUAACUGAGGAAGUGCACCCGAAACUGAGUAGCUAGAGUACUAAAGAGGGCCGCGGAAUUCCCGGUGUAGAGGUGAAAUGCGUAGAGAUUAGGAAGAACACCAGUGGCGAAGGCGACUUACUGGACUGUAACUGACGCUGAGGCAUGAAAGCGUGGGGAGCAAACAGG